UACGAAGGGGGCUAACGUUGCUCGGAAUCACUGGGCGUAAAGGGUGCGUAGGCGGGUCUUUAAGUCAGGGGUGAAAUCCUGGAGCUCAACUCCAGAACUGCCUUUGAUACUGAGGAUCUUGAGUUCGGGAGAGGUGAGUGGAACUGCGAGUGUAGAGGUGAAAUUCGUAGAUAUUCGCAAGAACACCAGUGGCGAAGGCGGCUCACUGGCCCGAUACUGACGCUGAGGCACGGAAAGCGUGGGGAGCAAACAGGG
rnacentral:rRNA from 1 species